UAGGGAAUAUUGCUCAAUGGGCGAAAGCCUGAAGCAGCAACGCCGCGUGGAGGAUGACACUUUUCGGAGCGUAAACUCCUUUUCUUAGGGAAGAAAUUUGACGGUACCUAAGGAAUAAGCACCGGCUAACUCCGUGCCAGCAGCCGCGGUAAUAUGGAGGAUGCGAGCGUUAUCCGGAUUUAUUGGGUUUAAAGGGUGCGCAGGCGGACUCGUCAAGUCAGCGGUAAAAAUUCGGGGCUCAACCCCGUCCUGCCGUUGAAACUGCGAGACUGGAGUGCGACAGAGGAAGGCGGAAUGCGAGGUGUAGCGGUGAAAUGCAUAGAUAUCGCGCAGAACUCCGAUUGCGAAGGCAGCCUUCCAUGUCGUAACUGACGCUGAGGCACGAAAGCGUGGGGAUCGAACAGGAUUAGAUACCCUGGUAGU
rnacentral:rRNA from 1 species